AUUGAACGCUGGCGGCAUGCUUUACACAUGCAAGUCGAACGGUAACAGGCCGCUAGGUGCUGACGAGUGGCGAACGGGUGAGUAAUGCAUCGGAACGUGCCCAGCCGUGGGGGAUAACUACUCGAAAGAGUAGCUAAUACCGCAUACGAUCUAUGGAUGAAAGCGGGGGACCGUAAGGCCUCGCGCGAUUGGAGCGGCCGAUGUCAGAUUAGGUAGUUGGGGGGGUAAAGGCUCACCAAGCCAACGAUCUGUAGCUGGUCUGAGAGGACGACCAGCCACACGGGGACUGAGACACGGCCCAGACUCCUACGGGAGGCAGCAGUGGGGAAUUUUGGACAAUGGGCGCAAGCCUGAUCCAGCAAUGCCGCGUGCAGGAAGAAGGCCUUCGGGUUGUAAACUGCUUUUGUACGGAACGAAACGGCUCUGGUUAAUACCCGGGGCUAAUGACGGUACCGUAAGAAUAAGCACCGGCUAACUACGUG
rnacentral:rRNA from 1 species